UCACUUCUGGAUGGACCUGCGGUGCAUUAGCCUGUUGGUGGGGUAAUGGCCUACCAAGGCGAUGAUGCAUAGCCGAGUUGAGAGACUGAUCGGCCACAAUGGGACUGAGACACGGCCCAUACUCCUACGGGAGGCAGCAGUAGGGAAUCUUCCACAAUGGGCGCAAGCCUGAUGGAGCAACACCGCGUGAGUGAAGAAGGGUUUCGGCUCGUAAAGCUCUGUUGUUAAAGAAGAACACGUAUGAGAGUAACUGUUCAUACGUUGACGGUAUUUAACCAGAAAGUCACGGCUAACUACGUGCCAGCAGCCGCGGUAAUACGUAGGUGGCAAGCGUUAUCCGGAUUUAUUGGGCGUAAAGAGAGUGCAGGCGGUUUUCUAAGUCUGAUGUGAAAGCCUUCGGCUUAACCGGAGAAGUGCAUCGGAAACUGGAUAACUUGAGUGCAGAAGAGGGUAGUGGAACUCCAUGUGUAGCGGUGGAAUGCGUAGAUAU
rnacentral:rRNA from 1 species